UUCGCAAUGCCCGAAAGGGUGACGAAGCGACGCCGCGUGUGGGAAGAAGGCCUUCGGGUUGUAAACCACUGUCGGAAGUUAAGAGAUGCAAGGAUGUUAAUAGUGUUUCUGCUUGACUAAGGCUCCGGAGGAAGCCACGGCUAACUCUGUGCCAGCAGCCGCGGUAAUACAGAGGCGGCAAGCGUUGUUCGGAAUCACUGGGCAUAAAGGGCGUGUAGGCGGUCGUACAAGUCGGAUGUGAAAGCCCCCGGCCUAACCGGGGAACUGCAUUCGAUACUGUACGGCUAGAGUGCAGGAGGGGAGAGUGGAAUUCCUGGUGGAGCGGUGAAAUGCAUAGAUAUCAGGAGGAACGCCGGUGGCGAAAGCGACUUUCUGGCCUGCUACUGACGCUGAGUGCGCGAAAGCUAGGGGAGCAAACGGGAUUAGAUACCCCGGUAGUCCUAGCCGUAAACGAUGGGCACUAAGUAGAGGGGUUUU
rnacentral:rRNA from 1 species